CUUAGAGGAGGUAUGGAGGUUGGGUCUGUUCAAGGCAUGGCUUGCAGCCUAUGCGAGCAGAUGGAAACAGCAGCUGCCAAGCACACCACACCUCCCAGCCUGCAAUAACAAUCACACAUCACCUCACCUCUGGCCCACAGUCAGCAUCAGCACCAAGGCGGUCCCUGAGAAUUGAAG